GUCGAGCGGAAACGAGUUAUCUGAACCUUCGGGGAACGAUAACGGCGUCGAGCGGCGGACGGGUGAGUAAUGCCUAGGAAAUUGCCCUGAUGUGGGGGAUAACCAUUGGAAACGAUGGCUAAUACCGCAUAAUGCCUACGGGCCAAAGAGGGGGACCUUCGGGCCUCUCGCGUCAGGAUAUGCCUAGGUGGGAUUAGCUAGUUGGUGAGGUAAUGGCUCACCAAGGCGACGAUCCCUAGCUGGUCUGAGAGGAUGAUCAGCCAUACUGGAACUGAGACACGGUCCAGACUCCUACGGGAGGCAGCAGUGGGGAAUAUUGCACAAUGGGCGCAAGCCUGAUGCAGCCAUGCCGCGUGUGUGAAGAAGGCCUUCGGGUUGUAAAGCACUUUCAGUCGUGAGGAAGGUGGUGUAGUUAAUAGCUGCAUCACUUGACGUUAGCGACAGAAGAAGCACCGGCUAACUCCGUGCCAGCAGCCGCGGUAAUACGGAGGGUGCGAGCGUUAAUCGGAAUUACUGGGCGUAAAGCGCAUGCAGGUGGUUUGUUAAGUCAGAUGUGAAAGCCCGGGGCUCAACCUCGGAAUAGCAUUUGAAACUGGCAGACUAGAGUACUGUAGAGGGGGGUAGAAUUUCAGGUGUAGCGGUGAAAUGCGUAGAGAUCUGAAGGAAUACCGGUGGCGAAGGCGGCCCCCUG
rnacentral:rRNA from 1 species